rnacentral:rRNA from 1 species
UUUAAUUGAAGAGUUUGAUCAUGGCUCAGAUUGAACGCUGGCGGCAGGCCUAACACAUGCAAGUCGAGCGGCAGCGGGAGGAAGCUUGCUUCCUCGCCGGCGAGCGGCGGACGGGUGAGUAAUGUCUGGGGAUCUGCCCGAUGGAGGGGGAUAACCACUGGAAACGGUGGCUAAUACCGCAUAACGUCGCAAGACCAAAGUGGGGGACCUUCGGGCCUCACACCAUCGGAUGAACCCAGAUGGGAUUAGCUAGUAGGUGGGGUAAUGGCUCACCUAGGCGACGAUCCCUAGCUGGUCUGAGAGGAUGACCAGCCACACUGGAACUGAGACACGGUCCAGACUCCUACGGGAGGCAGCAGUGGGGAAUAUUGCACAAUGGGCGCAAGCCUGAUGCAGCCAUGCCGCGUGUGUGAAGAAGGCCUUCGGGUUGUAAAGCACUUUCAGCGAGGAGGAAGGUGGUGAGCUUAAUACGUUCAUCAAUUGACGUUACUCGCAGAAGAAGCACCGGCUAACUCCGUGCCAGCAGCCGCGGUAAUACGGAGGGUGCAAGCGUUAAUCGGAAUUACUGGGCGUAAAGCGCACGCAGGCGGUUUGUUAAGUCAGAUGUGAAAUCCCCGAGCUUAACUUGGGAACUGCAUUUGAAACUGGCAAGCUAGAGUCUCGUAGAGGGGGGUAGAAUUCCAGGUGUAGCGGUGAAAUGCGUAGAGAUCUGGAGGAAUACCGGUGGCGAAGGCGGCCCCCUGGACGAAGACUGACGCUCAGGUGCGAAAGCGUGGGGAGCAAACAGGAUUAGAUACCCUGGUAGUCCACGCCGUAAACGAUGUCGAUUUGGAGGUUGUGCCCUUGAGGCGUGGCUUCCGGAGCUAACGCGUUAAAUCGACCGCCUGGGGAGUACGGCCGCAAGGUUAAAACUCAAAUGAAUUGACGGGGGCCCGCACAAGCGGUGGAGCAUGUGGUUUAAUUCGAUGCAACGCGAAGAACCUUACCUACUCUUGACAUCCAGAGAACUUUCCAGAGAUGGAUUGGUGCCUUCGGGAACUCUGAGACAGGUGCUGCAUGGCUGUCGUCAGCUCGUGUUGUGAAAUGUUGGGUUAAGUCCCGCAACGAGCGCAACCCUUAUCCUUUGUUGCCAGCGGUUAGGCCGGGAACUCAAAGGAGACUGCCAGUGAUAAACUGGAGGAAGGUGGGGAUGACGUCAAGUCAUCAUGGCCCUUACGAGUAGGGCUACACACGUGCUACAAUGGCGUAUACAAAGAGAAGCGAACCUGCGAAGGCAAGCGGACCUCAUAAAGUACGUCGUAGUCCGGAUUGGAGUCUGCAACUCGACUCCAUGAAGUCGGAAUCGCUAGUAAUCGUAGAUCAGAAUGCUACGGUGAAUACGUUCCCGGGCCUUGUACACACCGCCCGUCACACCAUGGGAGUGGGUUGCAAAAGAAGUAGGUAGCUUAACCUUCGGGAGGGCGCUUACCACUUUGUGAUUCAUGACUGGGGUGAAGUCGUAACAAGGUAACCGUAGGGGAACCUGCGGUUGGAUCACCUCCUUA